CAUCACCUCUAGCAUACUAAGUAUUAGAGGCACCGCCUGCCCAGUGACUGACGUUUAACGGCCGCGGUAUCUUGACCGUGCAAAGGUAGCAUAAUCACUUGUUCCUUAACUAGGGACUAGAAUGAAUGGCUUAACGAGGGCUUAACUGUCUCUUAUUUCCAAUCAGUGAAAUUGACCUUCCCGUGAAGAGGCGGGGAUACUAUAAUAAGACGAGAAGACCCUGUGGAGCUUAAAUUUACUAAUCUAUCUCUAAUUUCAACAACCCAACGGAAUAACAAACAGACUAUAGCUUAGUAAUUUUGGUUGGGGUGACCUCGGAGAAUAAAAAAUCCUCCGAAUGAUUUUAACUCAGACUGACAAGUCAAAGUACCCUAAAAUCUUAUUGACCCAAAAUAUUGAUCAACGGACCAAGUUACCCCAGGGAUAACAGCGCAAUCCUAUUUAAGAGUCCAUAUCGACAAUAGGGUUUACGACCUCGAUGUUGGAUCAGGACAUCCCAAUGGUGUAGAAGCUAUUAAUGGUUCGUUUGUUCAACGAUUAAAGUCCUACGUGAUCA
rnacentral:rRNA from 1 species